rnacentral:ribozyme from 1 species
UGCCCAGCAACUCCUAUCCCUACCUCCUCGUGGUACUGAACAGGGUCCGAGCAACCUUGGGAAGAUCGGGUAACCAACUCAGGUGGGAACUUUGGUCGUAUGCUGACAGGGAAGG